AUGGACGAAAGUCUGAUGGAGCAACGCCGCGUGAGUGAAGAAGGGUUUCGGCUCGUAAAACUCUGUUGUUAAAGAAGAACAUAUCUGAGAGUAACUGUUCAGGUAUUGACGGUAUUUAACCAGAAAGCCACGGCUAACUACGUGCCAGCAGCCGCGGUAAUACGUAGGUGGCAAGCGUUGUCCGGAUUUAUUGGGCGUAAAGCGAGCGCAGGCGGUUUUUUAAGUCUGAUGUGAAAGCCUUCGGCUCAACCGAAGAAGUGCAUCGGAAACUGGGGAACUUGAGUGCAGAAGAGGACAGUGGAACUCCAUGUGUAGCGGUGAAAUGCGUAGAUAUAUGGAAGAACACCAGUGGCGAAGGCGGCUGUCUGGUCUGUAACUGACGCUGAGGCUCGAAAGUAUGGGUAGCAAACAGGAUUAGAUACCCUGGUAGUCCAUACCGUAAACGAUGAAUGCUAAGUGUUGGAAGGUUUCCGCCCUUCAGUGCUGCAGCUAACGCAUUAAGCAUUCCGCCUGGGGAGUACGGCCGCAAGGCUGAAACUCAAAGGAAUUGACGGGGGCCCGCACAAGCGGUGGAGCAUGUGGUUUAAUUCGAAGCUACGC
rnacentral:rRNA from 2 species